rnacentral:snoRNA from 1 species
GCGCUGCCUUUGAGCCCUCGCCGCGCCUGCGCGUGGCGCCGUGGGGGGCGGGGGGGACGGGGAGGUCAGGCUGCAGCGCCAGAGCAGCACGCGCUUGCGCAUAACUGGGGCCGUCUGCCCCGCGGCGGCGGCUCUUUUAGCAGCGAGCUAGA